GAGAGGAAGUGAGAGAGAAGGGAAAUUAGAGAGAGAAAGUAGAAAAUCAACCAAGUUUAAGGCCCCGAAUCCCGAAGCUCGUGAAGGAUAAAGUGUAGUACAAGUUGUUGCCGUCAUUCUAAGCUAAGGAUCGAACUUGGGGGUGUUGAUUUCGUGAUUACUACUCUUGAAAGAUUGAAGUUGAAGGGAUUGAAGGACAUUGUGAUACGCUCAAAAGCGGGAAGUUAAGGUACUGAUAUACAGGACGACACAUCUGCUCAGUAGGACAACAUUCGUAUCAGCUUAUUGGUGAGCCCCAUCUCAUUCGGGGUUUAGUCAACUUUUAUUUUAUGAUUAAUUAUGCAUCUAAAGGUAUGCUGGGGGCCUUGUCCCAGUAAGUAUGUUUUCCAGUCAGA